rnacentral:misc_RNA from 1 species
GAUGAAGAACGCAGCGAAAUGCGAUAAGUAAUGCGAAUUGCAGAAUUCAGUGAAUCAUCGAAUCUUUGAACGCACAUUCGCCCGCUAGUAUUCUGGCGGGCAUGCCUGUCUGAGCGUCAUUUCAACCCUCGCCCCCGGCUUUUGCUGGGAGCGGUGUUGGGGAUCGGCCGCCCGUCACUGGGAGGCCGGCCCCGAAAUAGAGUGGCGACCACGCCGUGUGCUCCUCUGCGUAGUAGUAAAUCACCUCGCAGGCGGACAGCGGUGCGGCCUGCCGUAAAACCCCCAACUCUUUCUGGUUGACCUCAGAUCAGGUAGGAAUACCCGCUGAACUUAAGCAUAUCAAUAAGCGGAGGA